AUACGGAGGACGCGAGCGUUAUCCGGAUUCAUUGGGUUUAAAGGGUGCGCAGGCGGCCGUGCAAGUCAGCGGUGAAAGCCCGGGGCUCAACCCCGGAAGUGCCGUUGAUACUGCAUGGCUGGAAUGCGGUCGAGGCGGGCGGAACGGGGCGUGUAGCGGGGGAAUGCGUAGAUAUGCCACAGAACGCCGAUAGCGGAGGCAGCUCGCCAGGCCUGCAUUGACGCUCGGGCACGAAAGCGUGGGGAUCGAACAGGAUUAGAUACCCUGGUAGUCCACGCCGUAAACGAUGGGCGCUCGUCGUCGGCGGCAGACAGUCGGCGGCCAAGCGAAAGCGAUAAGCGCCCCACCUGGGGAGUACGGUCGCAAGGCUGAAACUCAAAUGAAUUGACGGGG
rnacentral:rRNA from 1 species